AUGCCAGGGAUGGUGGAGGUCAGCGUGGGUCCUGGGCACAGCACGUGGCAGGAGAGCCCUCCGCCUGCCCGCCAGGACCUGGGCAGCUCUGGGUCGCAGGCUCCCCGGGAGGGGACGCUCUUGGUGGAGGGCCUGGGUUUGUGCGCCACGAACAGCUCCCGCGCUGGGCUGCAGGCUGGAGAUCUCCCGGUCCUGCUGAGAGCGCAGGUGGGAGCUGGCCCUGCAGGCGGGGGCUGCAGCAGAGGGGACCCUGGGGCUGGAAGGGCCGUCGCAGGAAGGUCAUCAGAGCCCAGGGGCGGAGGCCCAGGGGCCACACCGCAGGCUCAGCAUCUUCCAAUGGGAAACCAAAGCCCGGAACAACCGAGAUGGUGCCCGAAAGGUGCGCCCCUCUCUGUCCAAAGCUGUGACUCCGACGAUGCCAAGGGAAACUGGCAGGAGGACGGCCCAACCUCCCAGCAGGGGCCUGGGCGAACCCAGCCGCCCCACGCAGGGCUUCUGCAGGGCGCACGGGAACCGAUCUCCCCGCGUGGACCCGGCCCUUUCCUCCCCGCCAGCGUCCCACAAUGGGCAGGAGGUUCGACCACCGCGGCGCGGCUGUUCCACCAGGAAAUCGGUUCACGCAGGGUGCAGCCUGCCCGAGAAUGAAGUCAUCGGCUGCUUUUCCCCCUUUUCCCCUACAACACGAGUCCCCGGGCCUCUGCAGUGCCCCGGCCGCACUGCUGGGGGGCGGGCCAGGAGCAGGACCCUGGGUGCCGGGCGCCCACGCGAGACGUCCCGGGACAGACAGCCCAAGGUGAGCUCCCGGGAGGCCGCCCGCGGCGCGCAGGAACAGUAAAUAACGCUGCCUGUCAACGCAGUAAAACGGAAGCGGUGACAAUGUUUAAUAAGCGUCCCCAUGCGUCUCCCCCUCCUCCCUCCCUCGCAGGACGUGGGCACUGGGAGGACCCGCAGGGAUGCGGGACGCCGGGCGUGUUGCGUGGUGGCCGGGUGCAGCAGGAGGAGGAGGAGGAGGAGGAGGAGGAGGACGCGGGGGAGAGGGGGAAGCAGCAAGUGAGAGACGAGGGGGCGCGAGCGGCCGGGG
rnacentral:lncRNA from 1 species